ensembl:lncRNA
GCACCGCGCCGCGCCGUGCUGCAGGCAGCUCCGCGCCCCCCGCCGGGACAGCGGUGACGGUGUGAGUCUGUGCGCAUCCCCGACUAGUACCGAGCAGGGAUGUCUACAAAGCCCUCUGGGCGUAAACUCACAUGCUGAGCCAUUUUUUACUGCCUUGGCAGAGGACACGGAGACCCUCCCCCAAGUAAAUAAAUAGAUAGAUAGACAAGAUACAUCCGUGCAGGAAAUAAUUUCCGUCCUCCUUUCGAACAAACAUGGGGGAUUCCUUAAAGUCAGUCAAGUCAUCCGCAUUCGCAGAGAAAAGAUCCAGCCGGCUGCAAGGGCAGAGCAUCGUUUGUACUCGGAUUGCAUUGGAAGCACCCGAGCUCCCAUGGCAACCUCGGCUCCUGCUGGAGGGCUUUAUUCCAUGCGCCGCCGUGGAGAGCCCCGUGGCAUCCUUUGCUGUGCGCAUCCUUACCCUUCAGCUUGCAGCGGGGUUUGCCUGCAGCCGGCCGCCACCAGCAGGAGAGGAGUGAGCCACAUAGUGGCACCUACCUACCUCAUCACGGGCAUUUAUGAAGAGGCAUUCAAGAUGCAGUCAAGGCAACCAUGAUGAAGAGCACCGAACAAGUGGGUAACAAGGAUCAUCAUGGCUCAACACAAAAUAAUAUUUUAUAAGGGUACAAGAACAGCUCUUCCACCUUUUGCAGUUUCCCAGUCAUCUUUUAUGGAUGGAAUACCUGAAAACUGAAUGCAAGAGAAUCAGAGAAUUUCAGGAGUUGGAAGGGACAUCAAGAGAUCGAGUACAACUCCCCUUCUAAAGCAGGUUCCCUACAAUAAAUCACACAGGUAGGCACUGAGCUGGGUCUUGAAUAUCUCCAUAGAAGGAAACUCCACAGUGUCUCUAGGCAAGCUGUUCCAGUGCUCCAUCAUCCUUAUCAUAAAGAAGUUCUUCCACAUGUUUGUAUGGAAUUUCUUAUGUUCAAGUUUUAGGCCACUGUUCCUUGUCCUAUCACUACACACCACUGAGCCUGGCCUCAUCCGCUUGCCUCCCACCUCCCUUUAGAUAUUUAUGAAAAAGGAAAAAGGGAAUCCAACUCAGAUGGAGAGUUGAAAUAGCUGUACAGUUAACUUCCUCUGAAACUUCUCCUAUCUGAGAGGGCAGAGCAGAGGGCUUGGGACUGCAAGAUCCAGUGACAUAACUUGUGUAAACCCUGUGCAUUCUGGGCUUUUAGGCUUACUGCAAGAUGCAGGCAGUCUCAUUGAAAACACAUGAAGAAAGCAAGUCUCCACCAAACAACUACCGAAAAGCAAUGGUUGCUCUAGGGCAUUGCCUAAACAGUAUUACUGUCUACUAGCAGUAUUCAAAAUUGGGAAGUAUUUCCCCAGCCUAGCAAAGCACGUAAGCACAUGGUUAAUAACACACAGUGUAAUAGUUCCAGGGACUCCAAUCAAAUUAAGCUAUGUGCUUACAAGCUCUGCUGAACUGGAACCAGAUUGCAUUAGCUUGCUUUAACCUCUCCACAGAUCACAAACACUAAGCUGGAGACACCUGCUUAGAGAACUGGAGGUAACAGAGCGAUGCAGGAGGAGGCAGCGCUCUGACUGUGGCUGCUGUGAUGUGCUGGGCUGAUGCUGAGCCCAGUAUGCAAUUCUGGGCUUCAGCAAACCCAGGAGUUAAUUCAGAUGCUGUACCAUGAUUUGGGGAAAUAAAAUCAAAUUAACCAGAGACCUUGGCCAGGAUAAUUUUCUUGAUAAGAAAUGCUAUGCGUGCAGAAAGAGUGGAACUUCUACAUGUAAAAAGAGUGAGACACAAAGUGAUCUGUUGGCAAUAUCCAACCCUACAAGAGAUGACUGAGGCAAGAUACAGGCUGGUUUAGAGACUGUGAUCAAAGGAGUGACAGCCGCUUCCAAUCUGCAUGAACUUUGUGUUUUGUCACUUGGGGUUUUCUUACAUUAGCAAGGAGUGUUACUGGCACAGCUCAAGCGAGACUAAAAAACCCUGCCACUGCCACUGCUGUUACCCAGUGCUGUCUGUACAAAGACUAUACUGCUUAAUGUCCUUCUUGUUAAUUGAAAUUGGAUUUUUUGUCUGAGAAACG